UCGGGAAUAUUGGACAAUGGGCGCAAGCCUGAUCCAGCAAUACCGCGUGUGUGAAGAAGGCCUGCGGGUUGUAAAGCACUUUCAGUUGGGAAGAUAAUGACGUUACCAACAGAAGAAGCACCGGCUAACUCCGUGCCAGCAGCCGCGGUAAUACGGAGGGUGCAAGCGUUAAUCGGAAUUACUGGGCGUAAAGCGCACGUAGGCGGUUUAUUAAGUCAGAUGUGAAAGCCCCGGGCUCAACCUGGGAACUGCACCUGAUACUGGUAAACUAGAAUUUGGGAGAGGUGAGUGGAAUUUCCGGUGUAGCGGUGAAAUGCAUAGAGAUCGGAAGGAACACCAGUGGCGAAGGCGACUCACUGGACCAAAAUUGACGCUGAGGUGCGAAAGCGUGGGUAGCAAACAGGAUUAGAUACCCUGGUAGUCCACGCCGUAAACGAUGUCAACUAGCCGUUGGUUCCAUUUAAGGGAUCAGUGGUGCAGCUAACGCACUAAGUUGACCGCCUGGGGAGUACGCGCGCAAGCGU
rnacentral:rRNA from 1 species